UUCAGUUGUUAAAGCAGCUCUCAUGCGAGAGGCUUUCUACAGAGUUUUCUGUAAUCUCUUACACAGGAACCUGUAAAAACAGGAUGUAUGUUUUUCUCUUCUUUUGCACAGCACUGAAUUUAUGUCAUCUUUUUUUUUUUUCUUUUUUUCCAAGUGAAAGCCUUCUUUGUUCAAGUAAUAUUGAUUCUUUUUUUUUCAGUGCUGUUACUCUCCUUUCUUGUUUUAUGAUCCUUUCAUCUAGGUUUGAGUGGCUGCGUGAGAGUGUGAACAAUACAGGAAAAGCUAAGGUAUGGGCUUAGCAGCGUACAGCCUUGAACUGUGUGCAGACUUUGUCUGAAUAGCCCCCGGUAAAAAUGAAUCUGAUUGAGAACUGAGCGGUCAUGCUUUCAGCUAUUUGCCAUGGACUAGCUCACCACAGUGCUACACCUUAAUUUGUAAAUGUAACAUAUUCUUCAUGUGUCAAUACCUUUAAUUUGGUGUGCUGAGAGCUUGAGGUUGUGAGUAGCCUGUCUGGUUAUGUAAAUAUCCAGAGACAUUUCCAUGCUCAGUUGGUUCUUGGGUCACUGAACUGGAUCCCUGUGUACAUCUGUGUCUUGUUCCUCUGCAGAUCUGAGAACAUCUCAGAGAAUUUUCUGUCUAUACUGUUAAAGACUUUGGUAGUUUUAAACAAAAACAGUGUCAUUUUUUUAAUAUCUUGGUGCCUUGAUGCAUAGCCAUCAGCUGAUGCAGAACUAUGCCUGGCUUACCAUUGUGCAGUCUUUAAAGGCAGAGCUCAGCCUGCACUGCUUGUAAAACAUUCUACAGUAGAUUAAGCUGGAAAAUGCACGACGUGAUUUGAGAGAUCACGUGUCUGUGUCCUGACAAACAUUAGUGAAUGGAGGGAGUGGUGAAGCCCAAUGGAAAGGGCACUGGACUUAGACUUGGACUACAGCAAGCUUUUCGUUUUUUGUCUUUAUUGACUCAUGGCCUUAGGAAAGUAAUUUAUUCUUUACUUCUUUAUGUGUAAAGAAGGAGGUAAUACCAGCUUUUUUGAGGUGCUCUGAAAUAUGCAGUGUUAAAAGGACUAUUAGUGUGAAAUGUUGUGGCCCGAUGAACAGAUCUUGGUUUUCUUUUUUAGCACAUUUCUUUAUAGUACUAUGUAUUAAGAAUUCAUAAUUAAUUCUUUCUAAGUGGGUAUAGUGAUCAGAAGAUAAAAAUGAAACAUAAAUAUUUUAUUACAUACCAGUUUAUAUUAGUAAGCACUGCGUAUGUGUGUGGGUAUUGCAACUUGUAUUUAGCUGAACCUUGAUGUGGUGAGUGCUGGUCCAUGCAAAAUGGCAACCACCACAGCUUUCCUUAUCUGUGACCUGUAAUGGGAAUUACUCUCGAGUAAAUUUUUGUUAACAGUUUACUGUUGUACAGUGGGAAACACCUACCAUACAUAACCAGUUUCAUAGCUACCAGAAUUUCAUUACUUAUUUUUUUGCUAGACACUGCAGGCUUUUUGUUUGCUGUGUGCGUGGCAUUAAAAGCUUAUACUGAAUAUCUAAUUCACAGGGAAGAUAUCAGCUACGGGUAUUUUGGCUGGGACAGCAGAGCUGGUUCAUGGCUGGUGUGCACAGGAAUACGGCUUGCUUUGUCCUUUAGCCGUGAAAAGCUGUGUCCUAGGGCCACUGCUGCUGUCAAAGACUUGUCAGUAUUUCUACUGUGAACUCUUUUUAAUUGGUUUGCAACUUGCCUGUCAGUUAUUUUACCGGGUAGAAAUUUGGUCUGUGAAUUGCAAUUUUGGGAAAAGUAUAUUUCUUGUUACAAAACUACUCAAGUGUUUUCAGAUCCAUUGGAAGCAGACACAGGCUGUUGUAAUGCCUCUUCGUUGUGCUGCUGCUGCUUAUGUACAGAGUAGAAACACUAUUAAAGUGAUACAUCUAGACGUAAAACUAAAUUGGUAGAGCUUGAGUUUUCUAAUGACUUUUUGUCAAAACAAACAAAAAGAUUUUAAAAAUGAGCUUUUCAAGGAGAGAACAAAACAAAUGGCUCUUCAGAUGUGAUUUAAGUGUAGUGUCUUGAGGGACUAACGCAAGGAGACAAAAGCAUGUCCAGGGGGAGCAAAUAAUCUGCGGAAUGAUUCAUGCAGUUUUACACAAAACAUGUGAAUGGAAGAUGAUCACCGACAAGAUUUUAUUAAUGAAAGACAGAAAAGCUUCAAGUGAGGUUUUGCUUUUCUAUCUCCUAAAUUCUAUAGGACAGCUGAUACUUCCACUGGAAGCCUCAACAGAAGCUCCCUAGACGGGAAUGCCCUGCAAGAUAACCCCUUUGACUGCUAGAGUUCUUUGCUGUGCCCUCUCAGAAAGAUCUGACUCAGUUGUCUUUAUAUCACCCAGUAUGCAGCAGUAGUUGGCAGCUAGCUCCUUUCUUAGCCUUCUCUUCCAUGGGUUGAUCAAGCCCCAUCCCCUCAGUCUUUCCUCAUAUGUCAUGUGCUAGCCUCUGAGCAUCUUGGUGGUCUUCCACUCUCUUUUGAGUCCAGUAUGUCAAGGUCUUUCUUUCCUUGGGAGAGCUCACAACUGAACAAAGCCUCACAAGCACCAAGCAGCAGUGGCAUACCUUCAAGUGGCGUGACCUUCAACUUGUCCACCAGAACUUGCAGAUUCUUUGCUGUUGUGCUGCUCUCUCCAGUCAUCCCCAGCACAUGGGCUUGUUCCCUCCCAGGUACGGGACUUUGGAUUCGUUGAACUUUGCGAGGCUCCUGUUGGCCUGUUCCUCCAGCUUUUGUUAAUUAAUAGUUGAUUCUUUGCAGAAUAAACGUAAGGCAGGUUAUUUUCUCUUAACUCGCUUAUUGGGUUGUGCUCCAGCUUGCUUUAAAAAAUUGUACCCUGGCAUCUUUGUCUAUAUUUUUAUAUCAGUACGAGUGACUGCCCAGUGAGGAGUAACCACCCUUCGUUUGGUUCCUAAUGGCAGCUGCAACUGGAAGUGACAUCUACCUAUCAAGAAAA